rnacentral:rRNA from 1 species
GACGAACGCUGGCGGCGUGCUUAACACAUGCAAGUCGAACGGAAAGGCCCUGCUUGCAGGGUACUCGAGUGGCGAACGGGUGAGUAACACGUGGGUGAUCUGCCCUGCACUUCGGGAUAAGCCUGGGAAACUGGGUCUAAUACCGGAUAGGAGCCAUUUUUAGUGUGAUGGUUGGAAAGUUUUUUCGGUGUAGGAUGAGCUCGCGGCCUAUCAGCUUGUUGGUGGGGUAAUGGCCUACCAAGGCGGCGACGGGUAGCCGGCCUGAGAGGGUGGACGGCCACAUUGGGACUGAGAUACGGCCCAGACUCCUACGGGAGGCAUCAGUGGGGAAGAUUGCACAAUGGGCGCAAGCCUGAUGCAGCGACGCCGCGUGGGGGAUGACGGCCUUCGGGUUGUAAACUCCUUUCGCUAGGGACGAAGCUUUUUGUGACGGUACCUAGAUAAGAAGCACCGGCUAACUACGUG